rnacentral:rRNA from 1 species
UAGGGAAUAUUGGUAAUGUGCGAAAGCGCGAACCAGCAACGCCGCGUGCACGAUGAAGGCCUUCGGGUCGUAAAGUGCUUUUAGAGAGGAUGAGGAAGGACAGUACUUUCUGAAUAAGCCUCGGCUAACUACGUGCCAGCAGCCGCGGUAAAACGUAGGAGGCUAGCGUUAUCCGGAUUUACUGGGCGUAAAGCGCAUGCAGGUGGUUUUGUAAGUUGGAUGUGAAAGCUCCUGGCUUAACUGGGAGAGGUCGUUCAAAACUACAAGACUUGAGAUUGGUAGAGGAGAAUGGAAUUCCGGGUGUAGUGGUGAAAUGCGUAGAUAUCCGGAGGAACACCAGUGGCGAAAGCGGUUUUCUGGACCAAUUCUGACACUCAGAUGCGAAAGCUAAGGUAGCAAACG